ACAAGGAGGUUUAGGAGAGAGUAGCUUAAGAGUGACCAAACCACAUUAUACACCCAUCAAACUAAAAACACACCUUUUCUUUCCCCAGUAAAAUCAGAGGACAUAAUUCAAAGAGAAUAUAACCAUCUACACCAAAUAUCUAUUUUGUUUGUCUUUUCCUUUUGCUGCCCAAAAUGCAAGCACCUGAGCAAGCCAGCAACAGAAAAAACUUCUCUAUCCCCACAGACCUAAAAUAUCAUUCACAGAGCUGAAAUUUAUGUCAGCUCAUGACUUAAAUGGUACAAGAAAUUUGAAUUAUAACAUCCUUUGCACUCCCAAAGGAAACCAAAGAGAGUAAAACAAGGAGAUGCCUCUUUCACAAAGCGAGCCCAUGCUUCUCUCAGGAAGGCCAGCAAUCCAGCUUAAAAUCCACUAGUAUGGUCUGUAGCGGAUGGGGCGUCUGAACCUUGGAACCCUU
rnacentral:lncRNA from 1 species